UAGCGACAGGCCUAACACACUGCAAGUCGAGGGGCGAGCACAAGGAGCAAUCUGAGGUGGCGACCGGCGCACGGGUGAGUAACACGUAUGCAACCUGCCUGUAAGCGGGGAAUAACCCGUUGAAAGACGGACUAAUACCGCAUAAUACUAAAUUACUGCAUGGUAAUUUAUUUAAACAUUUAUGGCUUACAGAUGGGCAUGCGCAUGAUUAGCUAGUUGGAGAGGUAACGGCUCCCCAAGGCAACGAUCAUUAGGGGUUCUGAGAGGAAGGUCCCCCACACUGGUACUGAGACACGGACCAGACUCCUACGGGAGGCAGCAGUGAGGAAUAUUGGUCAAUGGACGAGAGUCUGAACCAGCCAAGUCGCGUGCAGGAAGAAUGUUCCCUAUGGAUUGUAAACUGCUUUUGCAGGGGAAUAAAGUGCAUCACGUGUGAUGUUUUGUAUGUACUCUGCGAAUAAGGAUCGGCUAACUCCGUGCCAGCCGCGGC
rnacentral:rRNA from 1 species